rnacentral:misc_RNA from 1 species
UCUCCGUAGGUGAACCUGCGGAGGGAUCAUUACAGAGUUCAUGCCCUACCGGGUAGAUCUCCCACCCAAUGUUAUUAUUACUUUGUUGCUUUGGCGGGCCGUUAGGCUCCGGCCCGACUACCGGCCCCGGCUGGUAAGCGCCCGCCAGAGGACCCAAAACCCUGAAUAUUAGUGUCGUCUGAGUACUAUAUAAUAGUUAAAACUUUCAACAACGGAUCUCUUGGUUCUG